rnacentral:rRNA from 1 species
UACGUAGGUGGCAAGCGUUGUCCGGAUUUAUUGGGUUUAAAGGGUGCGUAGGCGGCAUUUUAAGUCAGUGGUGAAAUACUUCAGCUUAACUGGAGAGGUGCCAUUGAUACUGGGAUGCUUGAGUACUGAUGAGGUAGGCGGAAUGGACGGUGUAGCGGUGAAAUGCUUAGAUAUCGUCCAGAACACCGAUAGCGAAGGCAGCUUACUAAGGAGUAACUGACGCUGAGGCACGAAAGUGUGGGGGAUCAAACAGG